rnacentral:rRNA from 1 species
AUACCCCGGUAGUCCUGGCCGUAAACGAUGGAUACUAGGUGUNAGAGGUAUCGACCCCUCUAGUGCCGCAGCUAACGCAUUAAGUAUCCCGCCUGGGGAGUACGACUGCAAGGUUGAAACUCAAAGGAAUUGACGGGGGCCCGCACAAGCGGUGGAGCAUGUGGUUUAAUACGUCACUAACCGUAGAACCUUACCCAGGCUUGACAUCUGGUGUAAGUCCAUGAAAGUGGUACCCCGCUAUAGCAAUAUAGCGCACCAAGACAGGUGUUGCAUGGCUGUCGUCAGCUCGUGUCGUGAGAUGUUGGGUUAAGUCCCGCAACGAGCGCAACCCUCAUCCGAUGUUGCCAGCGAGUAAAGUCGGGAACUCUUCGGAAACUGCCCGUGUAAGCGGGAGGAAGGUGGGGAUGACGUCAAGUCAGCAUGGCCCUUACGCCUGGGGCUACACACAUGCUACAAUGGACGUUAACAAAGGGCAGCAAGACCGCGAGGUGGAGCUAAUCUCAAAAAUACGUCCUCAGUUCGGAUUGUAGUCUGCAACUCGACUACAUGAAGUCGGGAUCGCUAGUAACCGCAGGUCAGCUAAACUGCG